GCGGGCGUAGCUCAGUUGGAAGAGCAUCAGCCUUCCAAGCUGAGGGUCGCGGGUUCGAAUCCCGUCGCCCGCU
rnacentral:tRNA from 1 species